rnacentral:lncRNA from 1 species
AGUCAUCUAGAAAUGGUGUUUGGGGCUGUGAGCAGAUGACGCCAUUUCCAGUGGAGACAGUCACGGGACAGACAGCAGGACACAACUGGGGCCUGGGAUCUGCAGAAGCCACAUGACGGAGCGAUAAGACCACCUGGCCUGGGCCAGGACGCAGACCAUUAUUUCAGCCACACCAAACUGCUGACUUUGCAGAGGCUGCCAUGCUGAGAGGAAGCCCAAGCUCCCCCCACAUGGAUAGACUCCAUGGAGAAGACCAAUCACCUGACUGCACCCACCUGAGCAUCCCCCAGCUGGAAACACCAAAGAACAAAGUAAGACUGGAUGUUAGACCUCACAGUUCCUUAAGUCAGGCUAGGCCCUCCCUAGGCCUCCCCUACUGGCCAGAUGGAUGAAAAUUCUGUGGGCUUAUACAAUAUGGUGGAGUCUCCUCAAAACAGAAGGUGUAAAAUUAUUUAUCUCAUAUUAGGUUUGAAAGCUAAUAUUGAUUUAGAAGAGACCCAUUCAAGAAAGAGGUCUUGAAGCUUGAGCCAUGCACCUCUCUGGCUCCAAGCCAGCCAUUUUUGAACUGCAGUCUUCUGUCUUAGUCCAAUUGUGCUUCUAUAACAAAAUGCCUGAGACCAGGUAAUUUAUAAAAAACAAAUUUAUUUUCUCAUAGUUCUUGAGGCUGGGAAGUCCAAGAUCAAGGCACCAGCAGGUUCGGUGUCCAGUGAGGGCCUAUUCCUCAUAGAUGGCAUCGUCCAGGUGUUCUCUUGUGGCAAAAGGAAUGAAGGGGAGCAAAGUCUCUCACUUUGGCCCUUUUUUAAGGACAAUAAUCUCACCCAUGUGGACAGAGCCCAAGCGGCCUAAUCACCUCCUAAAGGCCCAUUUCUUAAUAUUGUUGCUCUGGGGAUUAAGGCUCAACAUGAAUUUUGAAGUAGACAUGAACAUUCAAACCAUAGCCCUUCCAGUCCCUCAAAGUGCAGAAUAUGAGCUGGAAGUGGGAGGGGUCAACAAAUGACCCUUGACUAAGGGAGCUGGAUCACCACCACACAAGCAGCAGCAGGGAUGGAGAGCUGAACCUUGGCCUGGGAAGGGGAUCCAGGAACAUGGCAGGCCCUGGAUGCUGGACCUCCAGGGCAGAGCAGGACCAGACGCCAGGCUGACUACUAUGGCGAGAGGAAUUCCUCCUAUUCCCUGUAUGAGAAAUGGGAAUUUUACCAUCAUCCUUAGAAUGCAGAAGCGACAUUAGCAUUAACAUUUACACUUUUAAUUGUUGUUGCUGCAUUUGGGACUCCCAGCUCUAGGCAAUAUGAUUGCCAAGCCAUUGCCAUUUGUUACUCCACUAAGGGACAUUUGGGAACAUCCUGCCUUCCUGGGUUCCAGUGUCACUGCAGCCAGAGGCUGUGUGGGAGAUGGGGAGAGACCAGGUGUGCUCCUGCCAUAGGGCUCCCCCAUCACUGGGUAAACUGAGGCUUGGCCUGAUGUCUUUCUAAUUUAAAAUCGCAGGACCAGGACCUGCACCACUGGACAAAAUGAAAGCACCUGUCCCUGCUCAGGAGACAGUGAGAGAGCUUGGCAGUUGGGAUGGGGGUUGGGGGAUGGAAAUAAACAAAAAGAUGUACACGAGAAAUGGCUGAAAAACAAAU